UACGAAGGGUGCAAGCGUUACUCGGAAUUACUGGGCGUAAAGCGUGCGUAGGUGGUGAGUUAAGUCUGAUGUGAAAUCCCCGGGCUCAACCUGGGAAUGGCAUUGGAUACUGGCUCGCUAGAGUGCGGUAGAGGGUGGUGGAAUUCCCGGUGUAGCAGUGAAAUGCGUAGAGAUCGGGAGGAACAUCUGUGGCGAAGGCGGCCACCUGGACCAACACUGACACUGAGGUACGAAAGCGUGGGGAGCAAACAGG
rnacentral:rRNA from 1 species